rnacentral:pre_miRNA from 1 species
AAAAAAAAAAACCCUGGGUUUCUGUGUCUAACGUUUAACUGUUCGUCUUAUAUGAAAUUUUUUUAUAAUUAGUGUUUUAUUGUUUUUAGUGUUUUAUACGUGACUUGUCUUUUUAAUUUUUUUUAAAUAAGACGGAUGAUCAAAACUCUGGACACAGAAACACGCUGGACACAAA